rnacentral:rRNA from 1 species
GAUGAACGCUGGCGGCGUGCUUAACACAUGCAAGUCGAACGGUGAACGAGGGAGCUUGCUCCCUCCGGAUCAGUGGCGAACGGGUGAGUAACACGUGAGCAAUCUGCCCUGGACUCGGGGAUAACCCCGGGAAACCGGAGCUAAUACCGGAUAUGACACUCACACGCAUGUGCUGGGUGUGGAAAGUUUUUCGGUCUGGGAUGGGCUCGCGGCCUAUCAGCUUGUUGGUGAGGUAGUGGCUCACCAAGGCGACGACGGGUAGCCGGCCUGAGAGGGCGACCGGCCACACUGGGACUGAGACACGGCCCAGACUCCUACGGGAGGCAGCAGUGGGGAAUAUUGCACAAUGGGCGAAAGCCUGAUGCAGCGACGCCGCGUGAGGGAUGACGGCCUUCGGGUUGUAAACCUCUUUCAGCAGGGAAGAAGCGCAAGUGACGGUACCUGCAGAAGAAGCACCGGCUAACUACGUGCCAGCCGCCGCAGUAAGAC